rnacentral:lncRNA from 1 species
GGGGAGGAGGGGAGAACGGGGAGCGCACAGCCUGGACGCGUGCGCAGGCGUCAGGCGCAUAGACCUGCUAGCCCCUCAGCUAGCGGCCCCGCCCGCGCUUAGCAUCACUAACUGGGCUAUAUAACCUGAGCGCCCGCGCGGCCACGACACGAGGAAUUCGCCCACGCAGGAGGCGCGGCGUCCGGAGGCCCCAGGGUUAUGAGACUAUCACUGCUCAGGACCUACUAACAACAAAGGUGAUUCUAAGUAUGACUUGCUAUGUAAAGAAGAAUUUAUUGAACUCAAAGACAUAUUCUCUGUGAAACUGAAACGGCGUUGUUCUGUUAAACAGCAGAGAAGUGGUACUUUAUUAGGUAUCACACUCUUCAUCUGCUUGAAAAAGGAACAAAAUAAACUAAAGAAUUCUACACUUGAUCUUAUUAAUUUAAGUGAAGACCACUGUGACAUAUGGUUUAGACAGUUCAAGAAAAUAUUGGCAGGCUUUCCAAACAGACCGAAGUCAUUAAAAAUACUCCUUAACCCCCAAAGUCACAAAAAAGAAGCUACCCAGGUUUAUUAUGAGAAGGUUGAACCUCUGUUGAAGCUUGCAGGAAUAAAAACUGAUGUAACAAUAAUGGAAUAUGAAGGGCACGCUCUGUCACUGCUUAAGGAAUGUGAACUCCAGGGAUUUGAUGGUGUUGUCUGUGUUGGUGGAGAUGGAUCUGCUAGCGAAGUAGCCCAUGCUUUGCUUCUGAGAGCUCAGAAGAAUGCUGGGAUGGAAACAGACCGAAUCCUGACUCCUGUCAGAGCACAGCUUCCACUUGGCUUAAUACCAGCAGGAUCUACCAAUGUAUUGGCACAUUCUCUUCAUGGAGUUCCUCAUGUGAUAACUGCAACAUUGCACAUUAUAAUGGGGCAUGUACAGCUGGUCGACGUCUGCACCUUCAGCACCGCUGGCAAGCUUCUUCGCUUUGGGUUCUCAGCCAUGUUUGGCUUUGGUGGAAGAACUUUGGCUCUGGCAGAAAAAUAUCGAUGGAUGUCCCCUAACCAACGGAGAGAUUUUGCUGUUGUUAAGGCACUGGCAAAACUUAAGGCAGAAGACUGUGAAAUAUCAUUUUUACCAUUUAACAGCUCUGAUGAUGUGCAAGAAAGGAGGGCACAGGGAUCUCCCAAAUCUGACUGUAAUGAUCAAUGGCAAAUGAUCCAGGGUCAGUUCUUGAAUGUCAGCAUUAUGGCAAUUCCUUGCCUGUGUUCAGUGGCACCUAGAGGCUUGGCACCUAAUACCAGAUUAAAUAAUGGAAGUAUGGCUCUUAUAAUUGCCCGAAACACUUCUCGGCCAGAAUUUAUAAAACACCU